UAACCAUCCAGCACUAGCAAAUAGUCAUAAAUCGGCAACAAAUUGGCAUACUAUUGCUAAUUAGUCACGCAACAGCAUUUACAAAUGCGAUUCAGCACUUAUUCAACUGCACUGUCCAUAGCUGAAUAAGUGCUGAUUAAGUGCAACCGCUAGCAACACUGUCAUGCUGGUUCUAUCAAACUGGCAACAUUGUUGUCAUUCUGAGAGAAGAGUGAAAGAGAGAGUGCAAGAAAACAACAACUUUCUCACUUUUUCGUAUCGCCCCCAAAAACAUCAACAACGAUUGAAAGCAGGCGAAGCUAGCAGCUCAAAAUCGCUUUCAUCCGGGUUUUCAUCAUCCUCCUAACAUGAACGAGGGCCACUUUCCCUUCUUGCUGGACCGCAACAAAGAGCCGCUGGCAGAUAUGGCGUUUUUUUGUUCUGCUGGUGGGCCGGAUUCCCCCGCCAAACUAAGCGGGCGGAGAACAAUUUAUUUUUUUAUCGUCAAGCCAGUUCAAGGCCAGUUGUAGUUGUAGUGAUUAUAUAAUAUUAUGAAUAAAACAACAAAAUCUUUCGAACCUAAUCAAA